GUGGGGAAUAUUGCGCAAUGGGCGAAAGCCUGACGCAGCCAUGCCGCGUGUGUGAAGAAGGCCUUCGGGUUGUAAAGCACUUUCAGUGGGGAGGAAAGGCUCAGGGCUAAUACCCCUGGGAGUUGACGCUACCCACAGAAGAAGCACCGGCUAAUUCCGUGCCAGCAGCCGCGGUAAUACGGAAGGUGCAAGCGUUAAUCGGAAUUACUGGGCGUAAAGCGCGCGUAGGCGGCUUGGUAAGUCGGGUGUGAAAGCCCCGGGCUCAACCUGGGAACUGCACUCGAUACUGCCGGGCUGGAGUACGAGAGAGGGGGGUGGAAUUCCAGGUGUAGCGGUGAAAUGCGUAGAGAUCUGGAGGAACAUCGGUGGCGAAGGCGGCCCCCUGGUUCGAUACUGACGCUGAGGUGCGAAAGCGUGGGGAGCAAACAGGAUUAGAUACCCCAGUAGUCC
rnacentral:rRNA from 1 species